rnacentral:rRNA from 1 species
GUGGGGAAUAUUGGGCAAUGGGGGAAACCCUGACCCAGCAACGCCGCGUGAGGGAAGAAGGUUUUCGGAUUGUAAACCUCUGUCCUUGGUGACGAAGGAAGUGACGGUAGCCAAGGAGGAAGCCCCGGCUAACUACGUGCCAGCAGCCGCGGUAAUACGUAGGGGGCAAGCGUUGUCCGGAAUGACUGGGCGUAAAGGGCGUGUAGGCGGCCGAUUAAGUCUGGAGUGAAAGUCCUGCUUUCAAGGUGGGAAUUGCUUUGGAGACUGGUUGGCUUGAGUGCGGAAGAGGUAAGUGGAAUUCCCAGUGUAGCGGUGAAAUGCGUAGAGAUUGGGAGGAACACCAGUGGCGAAGGCGACUUACUGGGCCGUAACUGACGCUGAGGCGCGAAAGCGUGGGGAGCGAACAGGAUUAGAUACCCCUGUAGUCC